AGAUUUUUAGUUCAUGUAUUGCUUGAACUUUCAUCUCAAUAGAAAUUCAUGAAUUCUUGUACUUUCCCUUUUUCAGUGAGUUGAGCAAGGAGGAGGUGGUUUAGAGUAAUGCACAUGUCCACUAUUGAAUGUGAAGCUCUAACAGAAUUCAAAGGAUUUGGGUAACAGUAUGUAAGCUAUUACUACUCUUAGCUCGUUGGUGAAUGGAAAGUUGUGGUGACAUUCUCUAUCGAAUGGACAAUAACCUUGAAUGUGCUCUGUCAGCAAAGUUAAAUGGAGGAGUGGCCAGUGGUUGAUAAUGAACUCAUAUAGCGAGCAAGAUCAUUGGUGGUAUUAUCAAGGCAACAGUAACACGAUUUAUCAAUCCUUUGAUCGGUGAAAAAACUAAAAUGAUAUAAAGCUUACAAUUUCUGAGAAGGAGGUUGAUUAGAAUGAUGUGAUGCUUGAAGUUUCAGUUCAAACCACGUCUAGAAUUUGACAAGGCGGAUUCCUGGCCUAAAAUUGCUCAUAUUUCCACCAUAAGAGUCGAUGGGAAAUAUGUUGCAAUUACAGAAAUUUUUAUUCAUUGUAAGAAAAGAAAAGACACAGUAUAGGCUGAAAUUAAUAAUUUUAACUAGGAAGUUCAUAGCAAAUUGUAAUUUUAACAAACUAGACCUUUUUACCAUUAGCAUACGUAGAUAUGUCAGCCGGAGCCCGGAUAUGCAUAGUCUUUUGAAAUACGAGUGAAUCUUACUUGAAAAAUCUAUUACAGCUCGUAGCUCAGUUGGUGAAAUGGAUGUCGUGCUGACAUUCUCCAUUGACUAGACAAUCACCUUGAAUGUGAUCUGUCAGCAAAGUGUAAAUGAAGAUCUAUGUGGAAUUUGACAAUACUACUUCUCUUAGGAAAUAUUGUGCAAGACUUUCAGUAGGUACAUUUUAGCCUUAUCGCUGUAGGAAAACUGCUUGAGU